CAUUCUCGUGUCUUUUCGUCCCAACCCGCUGUGUUUCAAUUGUGUUCGAUGUGCAUCCGUUUGAGUUUUAUUUUAUUUUUUUGGCCUUCGUGUUUCAAACUUAUGUGCAAAUCAGAUGGGCCUUUACACAAAUCAGGUCCUUUGUUAUUCCACGUAGUUGAAGUGUGGCAUUUCGCUUAGGGUUAACCCGUGUUCUUCUUCUUCGCCUCUCCAAAACCGAUGUUGCUUGUGUCUUCUCGAUCGCUCUUUCAACUUCUUCCAAAGAUGACGAAACAAUACCAGUUACCAAAUUUUCAUCUUAAAACUCUUCAUUAAUCUCUCAGACAUGAUCUCUAUUCUAUGAGAUUUCUGAUUCUGUAAGGCGGUGGAGGUUCAUCUAUAAAAAGACGGGCCGCUCCUCCUCCAUUGUUCAAGUCUGGUUGCUCUGUUUCUGGGAGGCUAGGAAUGUCCGCCGUGGUGGAGAGUUUAUGGGAGUGGUUAUGCUCCUAAUGGAUUCUCAGGCGACCAUGAUGCCGGCCCACCGUGAAUGUACACCGGCUUGCAACCCACAGGCCUCAUCUGAAAGCGGGUUCGGUUUGUUCCUUAACCGGGUUUGUUGUCACUCGAUGUAACCAAAACUCUCGACUGUCGGACUCUUCCCUGCAAAUCCUUUUUAGCGACUCAACCUCUUUCAAUGAGGUUCCGUAAUCACAGUGAAAUGAUCGGCCUUGCCAACGCAAACACUCAUCUUCCAGCCUAAUUGGUGAGAUAACUGUUGUGAAGAGUUCUGUCACCGACCCUCCUCAGGACAAGACCCAUGUUAUAGCGACCAUUAAGAUGGGAAAGUCUGAAUGUGAGGAAAUGAGCUGGGUUCGUGGGGUAUUUAUAGGAGGCAGCAACCAAUCAGCUUUAGGUUGGUGGGCACCCGUGUGUCGCUCCGCAUGGCUCCGGAUGCAUGCACGGCGACACCUCGUGCUCCACAUGUCCUUCAGCAUGGCCAGGACUCAUGCAGGACGCCACAAAUCCUCCCAGAUGUCAGGCUGCAUGACUGUAACUCAUGCAAGGCGCCACAGUAGCUCAGACAUGGCUGGACGUAUGCUUCAGUUGCAUGCGCGGAGACACCUCGUGCUUGGUCGAUCCACCUCGUGCUUCUACAAGUCAGGCUGCAUGUACUGCUUCCAUGCACGACGACAACUUGAGCUUCUGUAGACACUCAGCUUGCUGGACAGUUAACACCACGUUCUGAACACUCACACCAAGCCACCUCGUGCUUCUCGGUCCAUUCGUCUGAUUUCGGUCCUUCCGGUAAAUUUCUGACCCGCGAUAAAUCCCGAAUAUUUUUCUACUCCCAUUCUGAUGUUCUGAAUAACUUUCAAUAAACUCCAGACUCCAUUAUAACCUUGACGGUAAUAUUUCCCGAGCCUCCGGCUUCUCCGAAAAAUAUUACAGAAUACCGAAAUUAGGGUUACGUCCAAUUUCGGGUUUUCCCGUUGUGCUUGAUUCCCAUCAUGCUUGAUUCCCGUCCUUCUUAAUUCCCGUCCUGCUUCCAAUGUCUUCGAAAUAAUAUUCUGCAGACACGAAGUUCCGCAGAAAACUUCGUACUGGAGAAACGUCGUUCUUCUAAAACGUUGAGCUUCUAAACCGUCUUGCUUCCAAAACAUUUAUACUUCCAAAACGUCUGUCUCAUCAAUCUAGGACAUCUUCUAACUAUGGUCGAGCAACUUAUUCGACUCAUAGUUCACUCACGAUCACUUCUUCGACCACCUCGUUCUUCGAAAUUUCUCGAUCGAUCAAUCUUCUGUCUCGACCAUUCUUAUGCCGAAGGGCAGCUUAUCAGAAUUAGUCUCUUCGACUCUCAUGCUGUUAAGAUCCACAAUCAACUAGAAACGAUGCGAGGUGAUCCAAGGGUUGUGGUUGCAACCAGUGUCGACCCCAAGAUGGUGGGAUGUAAGAAACCUAACUGAAGCUACAUGGCCAGCUGUAUAAUGUUUGCUAAAACAUUUAAUCCCUAUUCAUCCUACAGGUCGUCUGUUUUUGAAUGCCACUUCCGGCACACACAUAUACUUUGACAAGGAAACAACUGCAGGGAGUGUUUUUCUAUAGGUUGGUCGCACAAGACACUAGGCUUACACCAGCCGCUCUACUGCUAAUGGGAUAUGCUAAGGUGGAAUCCCUGAGCAUAGCCGAGCUCAAUGAUUUUGUCAUUACUGCUCCCUCGCAGGAAAUUGAUUUUAUCUGUACCGGAAGAGUGACUGAGGUAAAGAUGAAGAAGGGAUGGUGCUAUAUUUCUUUCUCAAACUGUGCCAAGAAACUUCAGCGCACUGUCUCAUCUUUCACAUGUCUGCCUUGCAACAAAACUAAUGCAGUUGGUGUCCUUCGAUACCGUGUGGAGGAGAUGUCUGUUGCAGAUGAAACCAGUGAAGCUCUGUUUGUCUGUUUCGAUGGGGUAAUGACGAAACUCCACAACAUGAAGGCCUAUGAGGCUGGCCAUCUUUUGGCUGGUGAUGGUGUCAACCCGGAGGAAACUCAGACCCCAUCGUUUGUGGCAGACAUGGUAGGUAAGACCUAACACAUUCCAGGUGAGGGCGAGUUCAUUCAAUUAAACAGCAAAUCAUCAGACCUUUACUGUCUCGCUCAUCGAGGAUGAGCAUGAAAGUGAGCCACACAGCCUGCAUUCAUUGAUAACGGCGGAAACGAUGACAAUGGAGAUGACAAACCCGGUGCCAUCUCAGUGCCUGCUAAGGUGGAAGCUGGUGGUGGAAGCUGGUGGUAGUAUCAAGGCGCAUGGAGCAUCGGACAAGGUGAAGAAAGCAAGCAAGACUUAGGUGAAGAUGAUUGGAGUUCAAGCCGCAGUUUUUCCCGUUUUCUAUAAUGCUUAAAACAUUUACUUGUUUUUUUUUUCCUUUUUUGGGGAUUGCUUUAUGAACAAGUUUGACUUUGACUAUUUGGUACUUUUAUAAUUUUGGUUUUUAAUAUCCAAUAUAAAAUAUAUCUCAUUCCAGAAAUG